CCCAGCAGCCAUAUCACCCUGCAGCUCUCAACUGGCUACCCACUAAAACUAAGCAGAGAUGAGGCUGGUCAGUACCUGCAUGGGAGACCUCCUGGGAAGCUAUGGAUGCAGCUGGAA
rnacentral:rRNA from 1 species